GGGCUUGUGGUUUAGUGGUAUAAUUUUCCCUUAGCAUCAGCAUAGCGUGGGAAAGGUCCUGGGUUCGAUUCCCAGCAAGUCCA